UUUGUAUGUUGUCUACCUCACUUGCUUUGGCAAUGUUAACACAUGUUUCCCAUGCCAAUAAAGCCCUUGAAUUGAAUUGAAUUCAGAAUAGCAAGUUUGUGUGAAGUUCUGGUUAUGACAUGGGUACAUAGCUCAAUAGUAAUAUCCUCUCAAACGCUCUGGUGACAAACAAACUUUGCUGCCCUGUUUAGAAUUGUCCACAUGGCUGGGAGAACCAAUUCAAAGACCUUGUAACUGGAGAUUCCUUCAAAACGAUUGCUUACAGUUAACAUAUAGGGCACUGCAAGGUUGGGUGACCAGGGCCAUCUGGGACUGCCUCAUGGGGGAAUUCAGGUGUGUGAAGGCUACCUGUGUCCUGCAUAACUUAAUGAGGAUGGACUCGAGGACCAGGAGAGGAUCUGCAGCUUGCCGCCGUGUGCCAGAGUAGAAGUCUGCUGCUCUGCGGGAUGUUAUGGAUUGGUUCCAACAAGGCAACAAGAGAGGCAAUCCAUGUGCGGGAGAUCUUCACCUCCUAAUUCUUUGAAGAGGGUGCUGUUCCCUGGCAACACCAUAGACUAUACUAUGCACAACCAACGGCUCUUUUAAGAGCCAUUCACAUUGCAAUGAGAGUAUUCUUCCAUUUACUUAGCUAUGUCAAUUGCAGUUAUUGAAUUCACAGUUUCUCUCCCUUUUGAUUUCUACUUCUCAGGUGAGGGUGUUGUUUAGCUAAGGGUAUGAUGUCUGUACAAAAACAAAACAGGCUAUUUUAAAUCACCCAUAUUGAUUUUUUUUUAAACAAUUAGACACCCUAUCUCUCGACAGCCCAAUGGUUAUGUAAUUGUGAUGAACUGAGAAUAUUUAGGUAGCACUGUGAUUCAUUAAUCAUAUGCUGCCUUCCCUGCUCUUAUGUUUGACCUAUUUCCCUUUGUCUUUUACACCUCUCCCGCCACCUCUUUCUUCCUCUGUUUUUAUAAUGCACAACAGAUGUGCAUUGAAGUACAGAUUGAACUUGUAUUUAUAAUAUUACAAUUAUAAUAUUUAUAAUGCAUGUAUUUAUAACACUUGGAUAAUGAGCUUUUCAAUAAAGCAUUUUACAUUCUC